AAGUCGUAACAAGGUCUCCGUAGGUGAACCUGCGGAGGGAUCAUUAAAGAGUUAGGGUCCUCGUGGCCCGAACCUCCCAACCCCGUGAAUACAUACCUCUGUUGCCUUGGCAGGCCGUGGACCUCGUCCCCGCUGGCCGUGAUCGCUACGGCGGCCGCUCACCGGCGAGUGCCUGUCAGGAGCCUCAACAUAAACCUCUCUGAAACAGUGAUGUCUGAGCAAAAAAUAAAUAGCUAAAA
rnacentral:misc_RNA from 1 species